GUACACAGACGCCAAAGUCUUGGUAUGUCAGCAAAGGCAUACAAACAGAAAAACCUUCGCAAACAUCGGUUGAAAUUCAGGCGUCGACCACAUCCUCCGAUGCAUUGCACAGCUGUGUUCGUCCCGAGGACGAGUCCGUUUCGGAGGUGGCAGGCCCAAGUCCCCUGGGAGAUGAGACCGGUGCCCCAGGACAUCUACAAGCAGCAGAAGGAACUCAGGCAGAAGCAACCUUCGC